UGUGUUGGCUAUUCGCAAUAAGGCUACUUAGUUUGACUACACGUUCCCUUGGUCCCUAGCCAUUCAGGUCCUUGCUGUGUAUGUUGGCUAUUAUAGAUUCAGGUUUGCUAUUUGAAGUAGGAUGCAUUUUGAUAGAAUCUAUUGUCUUUGGUAGAAAAAGAGAAGUCCUAUGCGAUUCAUAAGAUUGAGUUCAAAAAGCCUCUGGUCAGAGUAAGUGUGAAUACUAGAAAAAUUUUUUACGAGAUUCAUAGAUGAACUCGAGUCGAACCAAUCUAGCAUAUGACUGAUGAUGGA
rnacentral:lncRNA from 1 species